rnacentral:rRNA from 1 species
UACGUAGGGGGCAAGCGUUAUCCGGAUUUACUGGGUGUAAAGGGAGCGUAGACGGCUGUGCAAGCCAGAUGUGAAAGCCCGGGGCUCAACCCCGGGACUGCAUUUGGAACUGUGUAGCUGGAGUGUCGGAGAGGCAGGCGGAAUGUGUAGUGUAGCGGUGAAAUGCAUAGAUAUUACACAGAACACCGAUUGCGAAGGCAGCUUGCUAGGCCGGAUCUGACACUGAUGCACGAAAGCGUGGGGAUCGAACAGG